ACCAGGGAUUGCAGUGAUAUGUCCUAUCCUUCCAGGCCAGAGGUAGGAAGGAGGGGGGUGCAUACUUUUUUUCCCUCUUUUUAAGUAAAACAUUUUAUAAAAUAGAUUCUCUCCCUGAUCCCCCUCCCCACCACACUAUAGACCACUGACACACUACACCACCUUACACGCAUACUGCACUCCCCCCCACACACAGAACCCCUCACACAAACACACUACAUCCCCUCACACAAACACACUGCACCCCCCCACACACACAGAACCCCUCAAACAAACACACUGCACCCCCCACACACAGAACCCCUCACACAGACAAAUAACCCCUCACACACAAACACACUGCACCCCCUCACACACUACACCCCCUCACACACAUAAAAACAUAACACCCCUCACACACACCCAAAUCCUCACACAAACACAUAACUCCUCACACAAACAAACUGCACCCCUCACACGCAUACUGGACCCCUCUCACAAACACAGCAUCCCUCACACAGACACCCACUAUACCCCUCACACACACACACACCACACACACACAGAACCCCUCACACUCACUGCACCCCCUCACAUACACACUGCACCCAUCACAUGCACUCUGGACCCCUCUCACAAACACAGCAUCCCUCACACAAACACACUACACCCCCCAGACACAGAACCCCUAACACACACAGAAUAACUCACACAAAAAACCUGCACCCCCCUCACACACACACUGCACCACUCACACACAAACACUGCACCACACACUCUGCACCCUUCACACACACACACACACACUGCAAGUAGCAACAUCAUAUCAAUACCAGUUAACAUCACACCAAAGAGAAUCAGUUCCAGCCAUCACAUUAGGAGUUAGUUAAUUAAAUGUUUGACCAAAUACAGCAGGCUAAUUUUUAAGUUGAUAAUUUUGUAUGGCUCGUGAAUGAUGUUUUCAAAUAUCCAAAUGGUCCCCUGCUUUAAAAAAUUACUCCAAGCACCCUAACCAUGUUAGUAAUUUGAAGUGGUCGUGGUAUUUAAGUAAAGUCUGUGCAGCAUUUCAUGGAGAAGCAC